UACAGAGGGGGGCAAGCGUUGUUCGGAAUUACUGGGCGUAAAGAGCGUGUAGGCGGCCAGGUAGGUCUGCUGUGAAAACUCGAGGCUCAACCUCCAGACGUCGACCGAAACCAUCUAGCUAGAGUCCGGAAGAGGAGAGUGGAAUUCCUGGAUGUAGCGGUGAAAUGCGCAGAUAUCAGGAAGAACACCCGUGGCGAAAGCGGCUCUCUGGGACGGUACUGACGCUGAGACGCGAAAGCGUGGGGAGCGAACAGG
rnacentral:rRNA from 1 species